rnacentral:lncRNA from 1 species
AAGUUUAUGUCACAAAUAUAGACUCUAAGAAUCAAAAUGACCAAAAUGUUUUAUUAAAGAGAUAAAUAUACACUUAUAUCCGUACGGUUAACUAAUCCAAAUCUUAGGGUUAACUAAUCCAAACUUUAGGGUUUAGAGUUAAGGGGUGAGGAUUUGAGAUUGAGUUUUAAAAUUUUAUAAAAUAAAAAAUAAAUAUGAAAAUAGAAAUUUCUAAAAUAGUUUCAAAAAAUAUUUUUGAAUUACAAAAAGAAAAUUUGAAAAAUAAAAAAAUUAAUUUUUUUUAUAAAAAAAUUCGAAUUUGAAAACAUAUAAUCUGUGUUUC